rnacentral:rRNA from 1 species
GAUGAACGCUGGCGGCGUGCCUAACACAUGCAAGUCGAGCGAACGGACGAGAAGCUUGCUUCUCUGAUGUUAGCGGCGGACGGGUGAGUAAUACGUGGAUAACCUACCUAUAAGACUGGGAUAACUUCGGGAAACCGGAGCUAAUACCGGAUAAUAUUUUGAACCGCAUGGUUCAAAAGUGAAAGACGGUCUUGCUGUCACUUAUAGAUGGAUCCGCGCUGCAUUAGCUAGUUGGUAAGGUAACGGCUUACCAAGGCAACGAUGCAUAGCCGACCUGAGAGGAUGAUCGGCCACACUGGAACUGAGACACGGUCCAGACUCCUACGGGAGGCAGCAGUAGGGAAUCUUCCGCAAUGGGCGAAAGCCUGACGGAGCAACGCCGCGUGAGUGAUGAAGGUCUUCGGAUCGUAAAACUCUGUUAUUAGGGAAGAACAUAUGUGUAAGAAACUGUGCACAUCUUGACGGUACCUAAUCAGAAAGCCACGGCUAACUACGUG